GAUUGACGCAGAUCGCGGAGAGGAUGACAUCUUCACAGACAUCCGUGCUGUCGUACAAGAGAGACUCUUCCCUAAUGAUGAGGAGGCUGUCAGAGCUGAACAUGCUUGUGUGGGAGCAUCUGAACAGCAGCUUCCAGCAACCUCAUGAAGCUUCACCAUCAACCUCCAGACUUCCUUCUGUCUCCCGAACUUCACUUCUCUCUCUCUCUCUCUCUUUCUCUCUCUCUCUCUUCUUCUGUUUUUAAUAGCAUGACCUUUUAAGCCAUCUAAUCUUGCGGGCAGGGUUGUGCUUAACAGCAGGGUUGGGUGGGAUCAAGAGGAUGACUCAUUCUGCAUAUUCUUCCUGCUUAAGGGUGCUUUGUUUCGGUAUUGAAUGCUGGAGAGAAUGUGGAACUGACUCGGGCUUUAAUUAAAGACUAUCUUCACAUGG